GAGCCUUGCGGGGUGACGGCGUGCCUAUUGAAAAAUGAGCCUGCGAGUUAGUGGUAUGUGGCGAGGUUAACCUGUGUGGGGUAGUCGUAGCGAAAGCGAGUCCGAUAAGGGCGUGAGUCGCGUGUUCUAGACCCGAAGCGGUGUGAUCUAUCCAUGGCCAGGAUGAAGCGUCGGUAAGACGUCGUGGAGGUCCGAACCCACUUCAGUUAAAAAUGGAGGGGAUGAGUUGUGGAUAGGGGUGAAAGGCCAAUCAAACACCGUGAUAGCUGGUUCUCCCCGAAAUGCAUUUAGGUGCAGCGUUGCGUGGUUCUUGUUGGAGGUAGAGCACUGGAUGGUCUAGGGGGCUUAUCGGCUUACCGAAAUCAGCCAAACUCCGAAUGCUGGCAAGUGUAGCGUGGCAGUGAGACGGCGGGGGAUAAGCUUCGUCGUCGAGAGGGAAACAGCCCAGAUCAUCAGCUAAGGCCCCUAAGUGGUGACUCAGUGGGAAAGGAUGUGGAGUUGCGUAGACAACCAGGAGGUUGGCUUGGAAGCAGCCAUCCUUGAAAGAGUGCGUAAUAGCUCACUGGUCAAGUGAUUCCGCGCCGAUAAUGUAGCGGG
rnacentral:rRNA from 1 species